rnacentral:rRNA from 1 species
AUUGAACGCCGGCGGAAUGCUUUACACAUGCAAGUCGAACGGUAGAGGGGGCAACCCCUCGAGAGUGGCGAACGGGUGAGUAAUAUAUCGGAACGUGCCCAGUCGUGGGGGAUAACGUAGCGAAAGUUACGCUAAUACCGCAUACGAUCUAAGGAUGAAAGCGGGGGAUCGCAAGACCUCGCGCGAUUGGAGCGGCCGAUAUCAGAUUAGGUAGUUGGUGGGGUAAAGGCUCACCAAGCCAACGAUCUGUAGCUGGUCUGAGAGGACGACCAGCCACACUGGAACUGGGACACGGUCCAGACUCCUACGGGAGGCAGCAGUGGGGAAUUUUGGACAAUGGACGCAAGUCUGAUCCAGCCAUUCCGCGUGCAGGAUGAAGGCCCUCGGGUUGUAAACUGCUUUUGUACGGAACGAAAAGGUCUCUCUUAAUACGGGGGGCUCAUGACGGUACCGUAAGAAUAAGCACCGGCUAACUACGUGCCAGCCGCCGCAGUAA